CUCAUGAAACGUUGGUGUAUUGUUUAUAUAUAUUGACUGAAGCUCCCUUUGUUGCUAAUAAAAAAAUGACCUAAAAGAGUUUGAAUAUUCUGACUUUUUCUAAAUGACAAUUUAAUGAGGUGUGUGAAUUUUUCUUAAUAAGACUAUGAGGCAAAGUGGUAUAUAGGGUAGAAAAAUCAAAAGCACCAAUUAUAAGCAUGC
rnacentral:lncRNA from 1 species